rnacentral:rRNA from 1 species
AGUGAACGCUGGCGGUAGGCCUAACACAUGCAAGUCGAACGGCAGCACAGUAAGAGCUUGCUCUUACGGGUGGCGAGUGGCGGACGGGUGAGGAAUACAUCGGAAUCUACUUUUUCGUGGGGGAUAACGUAGGGAAACUUACGCUAAUACCGCAUACGACCUACGGGUGAAAGCAGGGGAUCUUCGGACCUUGCGCGAUUGAAUGAGCCGAUGUCGGAUUAGCUAGUUGGCGGGGUAAAGGCCCACCCAGGCGACGAUCCGUAGCUGGUCUGAGAGGAUGAUCAGCCACACUGGAACGGAGACACGGUCCAGACUCCUACGGGAGGCAGCAGUGGGGAAUAUUGGACAAUGGGCGCAAGCCUGAUCCAGCCAUACCGCGUGGGGGAAGAAGGCCUUCGGGUUGUAAAGCCCUUUUGUUGGGAAAGAAAAGCAGCAGGUUAAUACCCCGCUGUUCUGACGGUACCCAAAGAAUAAGCACCGGCUAACUUCGUG